rnacentral:rRNA from 1 species
AACGAACGCUGGCGGCAUGCCUAAUACAUGCAAGUCGAACGAACACAUCGGGAGCUGUGGCCCACGGGUGUGUCACGCGUGGGAACAUGAACUCAGGUUUGGCCUACCUCUAAGACUGGGGUGCUUUUACGGGACCAUGUCUACGGCCCAAGGAUUUAUUGCCUUUGGUUGUGCACGCGUUGGAUUCGCUAGUUCGUAGGCUAAAAGCCUACUAAGGGGACAAUUCAUAGCUGGUCUGAGAGGAUGAUCAGCCACACUGAGACUGAGACACGGCCGAGACUCCUACGGGAUGCGGGAAAGGGUAAUAGUGGACAAUGGGGGAAAUCCUGAACCAGCUAUGCCGCGUGAAUUAUGUAAGCCGUGAAGUUGUAAAGCUCUAGUACCCGGGAUGAUAAUGACGGUACCUGGAGAGUAAGCUCCGGCUAACUCCGUG